rnacentral:tRNA from 1 species
UCCCCAAUGGUCCAGCGGUUAAGACUCUGAGUUUUCAACACAAGGGGUGCAGGUUCGACCCCUGGUUGGGGAA